UACGGAGGGGGCAAGCGUUGUUCGGAAUUACUGGGCGUAAAGGGCGCGCAGGCGGCUGCUCAAGUCAGGCGUGAAAGGCCUGGGCUCAACCCGGGAAUUGCGCUUGAGACUGGGCUGGCUUGAGUGCGGGAGAGGAUGGUGGAAUUCCCAGUGUAGAGGUGAAAUUCGUAGAUAUUGGGAAGAACACCGGUGGCGAAGGCGGCCAUCUGGACCGCAACUGACGCUGGGGCGCGAAAGCGUGGGGAGCAAACAGG
rnacentral:rRNA from 1 species